ACCAGCGACGGUUGACUCUGGUUCCUCCUGUUGCCCGGCAGGAUGUGUUUAACAAAAGGCGACCCAGCCCCCAGACUCUCUAGACCCUCGUGUGAAUCUCAGGACACAGACUAGCUCAUCUGCAGGGUGUCCCUCACGGUAGAUGUGGGGCUUGCACUUUGGGCAGGAGGCCGAGGAGGGGACGGGCCUGUCCCCGGGGGGCUGAGGGGACCAUGUGCCUCAGCAUGGCCGUUUCCACCUGGACCCGGUUAGGGGGUGUCGGCCGGGCCGUGCCCAGCACUUUGGGGCCGUGGAGUUCCCCACCCCCGCCUGCAUUCCAGCAUCCUUUGCGGGUUCUUGCCAGAAUCCGUGGCUCUCUUGGCCUCUGAGCCAUGACUUCUGGGUCCGCCGUUCCUCCUCAUUGGUCAGUUGGUGUUCCACUGCAAGGGACACCUGUCCCUCCGGCCCAGCUGCCUGUGCUGCGCGGGCACGCGGGUCCUUCGCCAUCACUUACCGCAGAGACGCUCCUUAUCUUCUGGCCCUGAAGACGCUGCCGCCUCUGGUUCAGGUACGUUCCCUUCGAUGGGAGCCCGGCCUGGGCACGCGUGUCACGGGCUCUGGGCCCUUCGGUGGGCCCAGCGGGAAAACCGAGUGUGGCUCCGUCCACACCCGUCUAGCUCACAGCUCUGCGUUUACACGUGUUCCGAGCAGACGUCUGCAGCCCAGGGCAGCGCCCCACGGGCCUCUCCCCGUCUGUCCCAGGGGCUCUCAGCACGUGACACGUGUUCCCACCUGUGAACAAGAAGGGCGCACCUGCCCGCAUGGCCUCGGGGCCUUGUUUGCUCUCUCCAGGUCCCCCGGUCCUCAACCCCGGGUGCGGCCGACUCGGACCCUCCGUGGCCGGGACACGCGGUGGCAGGCGUGUGGGUGGGGCUACCUGGGCCCCUGAGCGAGUACAGCACGUGUGCCCAGGAUGCGCCUUCCUCUUCACGAUCAUCUGGAGUUUAUGGCCCACGGGGUCCCGCGGACAGGCCGCCCCCGGCCCCUUGUCCUUCACAGUGGACCGUCCAGCACUGAGCAACAAGCACAAGGAAGUCUCUUCUGCUGGGCCCUUCCAGACAAGCCUCGCUCACGGCCUCCAGCUGGUGACAGGACACGGAGACGUGUUUCUACUUGGCCUUCAGAGAGGUAGGAGUGAGCCCGAGGCGCGGGCGGUGGUCGCUGAAGUGUUUUCCCGGCAGAAACAAACUGUCUGGGUCCGGGGUGAGGCUGGCCAGCCCCCAAGGCCCCGCCUCCAGGCCCUGCAGCGGCCAGGCCACCGUCCGCCGCCCAAGGCAGGCUCAUUGUGUUCCUGGCAGGGGGCGCCCAGGGCGGGGCUGCCCCCACUCGGGGGCGCCACGUCCUUUGCCACUUUUCUUUUCUUGAACUUCGUGUUCAUCUCUGGUUGGGGCAGAUUUCUGGGAACCGCAUCUCUGGGACAAGGGACUGUUUCCUGGGGUUUUGUGAGUAAUCGCGUGUUCUCAGCAGAGGUCAGGCAAGACGCGUCUUCUCGGGAGGGCUGAGCUCGGGGCCUCCCCAGCUGGCAGCCCACCGACGCCACCUCUGGGUCAUGCCCGCGGUAGCGGGAGCCUCGACAGGACAGUGGUCAGUGACCCUGUUGGGGUUUUGAGAAGGUUGUGACCUAAAUUUGUAAUAAACUUGGACAGCUGUUGCAAA